UACGGAAGGGGCAAGCGUUGUUCGGAUUCAUUGGGCGUAAAGGGUGCGUAGGCGGCGCGGUGAGUCGGAUGUGAAAUCUCGGAGCUUAACUCCGAAACUGCAUUCGAUACUGCCGUGCUUGAGGACUGGAGAGGAGACUGGAAUUUACGGUGUAGCGGUGAAAUGCGUAGAUAUCGUAAGGAAGACCAGUGGCGAAGGCGGGUCUCUGGACAGUUCCUGACGCUGAGGCACGAAGGCCAGGGGAGCAAACGGG
rnacentral:rRNA from 1 species